rnacentral:rRNA from 1 species
GAUGAACGCUGGCGGCGUGCCUAAUACAUGCAAGUCGAGCGAACAGACGAGGAGCUUGCUCCUCUGACGUUAGCGGCGGACGGGUGAGUAACACGUGGAUAACCUACCUAUAAGACUGGGAUAAUUUCGGGAAACCGGAUCUAAUACCGGAUAAUAUAUUGAACCGCAGUGGUCAAUAGUGAAAGACGGUUGUUCUGUCACUAAUAGAUGGAUCCGCGCCGCAUUAGCUAGUUGGUAAGGUAACGGCUUACCAAGGCAACGAGGCGUAGCCGACCUGAGAGGGUGGUCGCCCACCCUGGAACUGAGACACGGUCCAGACUCCUGCGGGAGGCCGCAGUCGGGAAUCUUCCGCAAUGGGCGAGAGCCUGACGGAGCAACGCCGCGUGAGUGAUGAAGGUCUUCGGAUCGUAAAGCUCUGUUAUUAGGGAAGAACAAAUGUGUAAGUAACCGUGCACGUCUUGACGGUACCUGGUCAAAAAGCCCCGGCUAACUACGUG